AUGACAGCACUCCAGCUCCGUGGCCCCCUUCUCCCUCCUCUAUAUCCCUCUGCUUGGAAGGAACAAAGACGCCGAGGGCAGGUCCAUGUCGUAGAGGUGCGGCUGGGAGUAUCUUCCACACCCAGCCUGCCAUCCGUCUUGCGUGAUGGUGGGCCAAAUUUAUGCUAUCUUACAGUGGCAGGGCCGGCAGAGACACAAGCGUCAAUCUCCCCUAUGAGGCCACCACAGGACACUCACUGCCAGCCAGGUGGAAGGAGAGCUGCACUCCGACAGUGCACACACAGUGCCCAGGAGGACAUCUCUUGA
rnacentral:lncRNA from 1 species